GUCGACGAUGAAGCCUUUCGGGGUGGAUUAGUGGCGAACGGGUGAGUAACACGUGGGCAAUCUGCCCUUCACUCUGGGACAAGCCCUGGAAACGGGGUCUAAUACCGGAUAACACUCUGUCCCGCAUGGGACGGGGUUAAAAGCUCCGGCGGUGAAGGAUGAGCCCGCGGCCUAUCAGCUUGUUGGUGGGGUAAUGGCCUACCAAGGCGACGACGGGUAGCCGGCCUGAGAGGGCGACCGGCCACACUGGGACUGAGACACGGCCCAGACUCCUACGGGAGGCAGCAGUGGGGAAUAUUGCACAAUGGGCGAAAGCCUGAUGCAGCGACGCCGCGUGAGGGAUGACGGCCUUCGGGUUGUAAACCUCUUUCAGCAGGGAAGAAGCGAAAGUGACGGUACCUGCAGAAGAAGCGCCGGCUAACUACGUGCCAGCAGCCGCGGUAAUACGUAGGGCGCAAGCGUUGUCCGGAAUUAUUGGGCGUAAAGAGCUCGUAGGCGGCUUGUCACGUCGGAUGUGAAAGCCCGGGGCUUAACCCCGGGUCUGCAUUCGAUACGGGCUAGCUAGAGUGUGGUAGGGGAGAUCGGAAUUCCUGGUGUAGCGGUGAAAUGCGCAGAUAUCAGGAGGAACACCGGUGGCGAAGGCGGAUCUCUGGGCCAUUACUGACGCUGAGGAGCGAAAGCGUGGGGGAGCGAACAGGAUUAGAUACCCUGGUAGUCCACGCCGUAAACGUUGGGAACUAGGUGUUGGCGACAUUCCACGUCGUCGGUGCCGCAGCUAACGCAUUAAGUUCCCCGCCUGGGGAGUACGGCCGCAAGGCUAAAACUCAAGGAAUUGACGGGGGCCCGCACAAGCAGCGGAGCAUGUGCUUAAUUCGACGCAACGCGAGAACCUUACCAAGGGCUUGACAUAUACCGGGAAGCAUCAGAGAUGGUGCCCCCCU
rnacentral:rRNA from 1 species